GUGGGGAAUAUUGGACAAUGGGCGCAAGCCUGAUCCAGCCAUGCCGCGUGAGUGAUGAAGGCCUUAGGGUUGUAAAGCUCUUUCACCGGUGAAGAUAAUGACGGUAACCGGAGAAGAAGCCCCGGCUAACUUCGUGCCAGCAGCCGCGGUAAUACGAAGGGGGCUAGCGUUGUUCGGAAUUACUGGGCGUAAAGCGCACGUAGGCGGAUAUUUAAGUCAGGGGUGAAAUCCCAGAGCUCAACUCUGGAACUGCCUUUGAUACUGGGUAUCUCGAGUAUGGAAGAGGUAAGUGGAAUUCCGAGUGUAGAGGUGAAAUUCGUAGAUAUUCGGAGGAACACCAGUGGCGAAGGCGGCUUACUGGUCCAUUACUGACGCUGAGGUGCGAAAGCGUGGGGAGCAAACAGGAUUAGAAACCCCUGUAGUCC
rnacentral:rRNA from 1 species